rnacentral:lncRNA from 1 species
AUCAUAGUCAUCUUUAAAUACCUGCAAAGUAAUCAGAUAUAAGAGGACCAAAGGAGACACUGGUUUUAACUGAGCACCUUCCAGGUUAUAUACUAGCUACUAUGAAGUGUAUUUAUUCCAUCCUUACAGCAACCCAGAGGCAAUGAGAACUACCCUUAUUUUUCAAAUAAGAAAACUGAGACACAGAUGAUUAAGGAAUUUGCCAAGGUCCAAAGCUAACAGGUAUUGGAACUAGGAUUCAAAUCCAAGCCUGUCUGCCCCCUAACCUGUGUCUUGCUGCUGUGUGUUUUGCUUUGAAGGGCAAAACAGAGACCAGCAGGUAGACAUUCUAAAUCCAUAGAAUUGUGUUUAUAUGAAUGCAGUGUGUGGCAGAGAUUGUCUAGAUGUUCAUCAAUGCUGUUUUCUCUGUUCUGUUUCUGGACAUACAGGAACACUUCAUGUCCUAGCCUCCUUUAUAAGUAGAUUGGGGCCAUGUAACAGGGUUCUGGCAAAUGGGAAUGUGCAGAUGUGAUAUGUGAUGCUCCUGAUUCAUUCAUUCUGUCUCUUUCUCUCUCUCCCUCUCAGCUAGCUGAAAGCAGAGAACCCAGCAGAGGAUUCUGGGAAGGUCCUGGGGGAUGGCAGAGCCAGCAGAGAGAGGUUUCUCUUGAAAAUUAAGAAGAUCUGGUAAAACUGGGCUUGAAGACCAUUAUGGUAACAGGCUGCUGAAGCUGAGGAGAGGGCCCCUUCAGAUGGGCAUAAGCACUGCUCCCCCUCCCCAACCCCCCUUUUAGGUUACUAUCAGACUCUGGAAGCUUCUGAAUGUGUGAACCCUGAAAGAGUCCAUCUAAAGCUAAGUUCUCCCCAGGGGUAGAGCCCAAUGCUGGGCAUACAGUAGGGACUCAAUGGAUAUUUAUCAAAUGAAUGAAUACAGGUGGAAUUCAGAUCCGUUUGGCCUCUCUUUUCUGUGACUGGGGACCACUGAACCUGAGUCACUAAGUGAUAACUCACAACACAAAUUUUCUUCUUGUUCCAAGCAGCCAGGACCCAGGUUCUAGGUAUCUAAAAAUGCUGUGCCUGACUUGAGUUCGCAAUGACAUUUUUUAUCAACUGAAAAUGUUUACUUCUGUGCAACCAGCCAAAGCUGGGGGUAAGCAGCCCAGUGGGGUGCGCUGAUUCUAUCUUAGAUUACGCUGUGCACAAUGGACUCUUUGUAAAGUCCUUAUGGCGGGGAGUGGCCAGGCAGGCAUCUCCUGCACCCAGCUCUGGAGACUCACUUGCCACAAAGCUGAAGAAGGACGGGGCAGUUUUAAUAUACCUGGCUUAGAAAAGCCACAGACUGUUGGACUUACAUGUGGGUGUGUAAGCCCCACACAGAAGCAGCUUUUUCUCCAGCAUUGUUAACAAAGCUCAUUUAGAGGAAUGCAAGUCUGGGGCACGGCCUGGAUGGGCAGCAUGACGCACACACCACAUAAGCUCCAGACGCUCACUGAUCCCCUUCACAGAGGCUGAGCCUGCCCACCCAACCCUGCCCUCGCCCUCACCCUCACCUCCGCAGCCGGACCUGGGAUAGCACUGCUUUUCUUGAGAGGACUGAGUCUUAGCAUUGAGGAUGGGAAGGGGAGUGUAAGGGCUCUUCCAGGAGAGAAUCUCCUGCUUAUUUGCAUGGAGGAAGAAGGGAGCCUUUCCCAGUGCCUACACGUCUGAGUCCCAAUUGUGAGAGAAAAUGAAUUGCUUAAAGUUGCAGUUCUCAACCAGAGGUGAUUCCCCUCCCAGGGGAUAUUUGCAACACUUGGAGGGAUUUUUCAUGGUAAUGACUUGGGAGGGGAAUAAGGGAGGUGGUGCUAUGGGCAUCUGGUGAGUGGAGGCCAGGGAUGCUGCUGAGCAUCCUACAAAGCAUAGGACAGCCCCUCAUGGCAAAGCAUUACUCACCCCAAAUGUCAGUGUGCCAAGGUGGAGAAACCCUGACUUAAAGGAGGGCUUUUAUUACCUUUUAAGCUUAAGAAUUAUAAAAGGCAAUUUAUUGUUUUAUAAUUUAAAAAAAGGGUUAUUUUAAAUAUGGACAAAUAUGCUGAACUUCCCAAGUAUCACCUUCUUUCAUUAUUUGUGAUAACAGUCUUGGCAUAUAGCA